rnacentral:rRNA from 1 species
UACAGAGGGUGCAAGCGUUGUUCGGAAUUACUGGGCGUAAAGCGCGUGUAGGUGGCGAUGUAAGUCGGGUGUGAAAUCCCUCAGCUUAACUGAGGAAGUGCACUCGAUACUGUGUCGCUUGAGUGUUGGAGGGGAUGGCGGAAUUCCCGGUGUAGAGGUGAAAUGCGUAGAGAUGUGGAGGAACACCAGUGGCGAAGGCGGCUUUCUGGUCUGUAACUGACGCUGAGGCGCGAAAGCGUGGGGAGCAAACAGG